UACAGAGGCCUCGAGCGUUAGGCGGAAUCACUGGGCUUAAAGCGUGUGUAGGCGGCCUUCUAAGUACCUUGUGAAAUCCCACGGCUUACCCGUGGAACGGCUGGGUAUACUGGGAGUCUUGAGCCACCUAGGGGCGAGUGGAACAAAUGGUGGAGCGGUGAAAUGCGUAGAGAUCGGGAGGAACAUCUGUGGCGAAGGCGGCCACCUGGACCAACACUGACACUGAGGCACGAAAGCGUGGGGAGCAAACAGG
rnacentral:rRNA from 1 species